rnacentral:rRNA from 1 species
GAGUUUGAUCUUGGCUCAGGAUGAACGCUAGCGGCAGGCUUAAUACAUGCAAGUCGAGGGGCAGCAGGUGUAGCAAUACAUGCUGGCGACCGGCAAACGGGUGCGGAACACGUACAGAACCUUCCUUUAAGUGGGGGAUAGCCCAGGGAAACUUGGAUUAAUACCCCUUAACAUUAUGUGAUGGCAUCAUUAUAUAAUUAAAGCUCCGGCGCUUAAAGAUGGCUGUGCGGCUGAUUAGGUAGUUGGCGGGGUAACAGCCCACCAAGCCUGCGAUCAGUAACUGGUGUGAGAGCACGACCAGUCACACGGGCACUGAGACACGGGCCCGACUCCUACGGGAGGCAGCAGUAAGGAAUAUUGGGCAAUGGACGCAAGUCUGACCCAGCCAUGCCGCGUGAAGGAUGACGGCCCUCUGGGUUGUAAACUUCUUUUAUCUGGGACGAAAAAAGGGGAAUUCUUUCUCAACUGACGGUACCAGAUGAAUAAGCACCGGCUAACUCCGUGCCAGCAGCCGCGCGGU